CUGUGUUGUUUUGUAGACAUUACAACUGUAUUCUGUUACUUUCCGGUUUUUAACAUUUCAUUCAUGAGAUACAGGAUACAAAAGAUUACAGAAGACUCUGGGACACACGAAGGCUUAUUCAUUUGAUGAACGUCACUGAUGUCAUGAACCACAGCAGUGAAGACUGAGGAAACUUGAGAUAUAAAACAUGUUCAGCCUGCACAGGACAGAAAGAUCUCAGGUGGAACACUACUUCUUCAACAUGAUUGGUGCUCCAUGUGAGUCAUGGCUGCUGCGUUCAGCUCAUUACCCUCAGGGCCAAAUGAGAGAUGGCACCAGGCAUACAGAAGAAAGAAAACUGUGUGCAAAGAAGUUACCAUACUGGAAAGAAGCACUUGAAAUCAAAAGGUUGAUUUAUAUCCCUGUGGGCUGAUACUCUAGAUACAUUUGCAGAAGAGAAAAAAUAAAACCUUAUCCUAACUCAGCCUUGUUGGGACCAGGCUAGGGUUACUCAGCAUGUCAGCUGUAUUACUGCAGGAUAGUAGGAACUGGCACCUGCUCAGAAACCCAAAUUGUUCGAAGCAGAUCUUUC